GGAGAGGUGGCCGAGUGGCUGAAGGCGCUGGUUUGCUAAACCGGUUUACGAGUAACAUCGUAACGUGGGUUCGAAUCCCAUCCUCUCCUCCA
rnacentral:tRNA from 1 species